rnacentral:rRNA from 1 species
UGAGGAAUCUUGCGCAAUGGGGGAAACCCUGACGCAGCAACGCCGCGUGAGUGAGGAAGGUCUUCGGGUCGUAAAGCUCUGUCAGGCGGGAAGAAAUGCAUGGAGGUGAACAGCCGCCAUGCUUGACGGUACCGCCAGAGGAAGCACCGGCUAACUCCGUGCCGGCAGCCGCGGUAAUACGGGGGGUGCAAGCGUUGUUCGGAAUCAUUGGGCGUAAAGAGCGUGUAGGCGGCUUGGUAAGUCAGAUGUGAAAGCCCUGGGCUCAACUCAGGAAGUGCAUUUGAAACUGCCAGGCUCGGGUAGGGGAGAGGGGAGUGGAAUUCCUGGUGUAGAGGUGAAAUUCGUAGAUAUCAGGAGGAACACCGGUGGCGAAGGCGACUUCCUGGCCCUAUACUGACGCUGAGACGCGAGAGCGUGGGUAGCAAACAG